GAUGAACGCUGGCGGCGUGCCUAAUACAUGCAAGUCGAGCGAACAGAUGAGGAGCUUGCUCCUCUGACGUUAGCGGCGGACGGGUGAGUAACACGUGGAUAACCUACCUAUAAGACUGGGAUAACUUCGGGAAACCGGAGCUAAUACCGGAUAAUAUAUUGAACCGCAUGGUUCAAUAGUGAAAGACGGAUUUGCUGUCACUUAUAGAUGGAUCCGCGCCGCAUUAGCUAGUUGGUAAGGUAACGGCUUACCAAGGCAACGAUGCGUAGCCGACCUGAGAGAGUGAUCGGCCACACUGGAACUGAGACACGGUCCAGACUCCUACGGGAGGCAGCAGUAGGGAAUCUUCCGCAAUGGGCGAAAGCUUGACGGAGCAACGCCGCGUGAGUGAUGAAGGUCUUCUGAUCGUAAAACUCUGUUAUUAGGGAAGAACAAAUGUGUAAGUAACUAUGCACGUCUUGACGGUACCUAAUCAGAAAGCCACGGCUAACUACGUG
rnacentral:rRNA from 1 species